AAUACCGGCGGUGACCAGGGCGGCCGAAGAUCCGGCCGCCACAGUCGCUGCUGAAGAAAAUGCUGCGCCCCAAAUCCUAGUGCCCUAGGUGACCAUUUAGGUCACCUAAAUGGUUGCACCGGCCCUGCGCUGCACAUGACUACGCCCAGGUCUGUGGGACCCAGGCAUGCAGGACUUGGUGCUCCCCAGCCCAUGCUUGAGCAUCCACGCUGUGUUGUAAGCAAGGGCUGACGGAUGCUGGACCUGGGUGCCGACAUGCCCGCUCUGUGCUGCGUACACUCCUGACUCCGGUCUGCAUCCACACUGCAAAACCACAGGGCUCGAGCCCAGGUCUUAGCGGGACUUGGGCUCUGGCUCGCCCCCCAGCAGGGUCCUAGACCCCAAGUCCUGAGUCAGACUGAUUUGUGUGCGAAUGGAAAGGGGACUUAGUCUCAAACCUGAAUUAGGUCUUGGCUUAGAGUGCCUUGUAGACGUAUUCCUUAAGAACACAGGGAGGGGAGGCAGGACAGAGGCAGGGUGGCCAGCUGUCUGGUUUUCUACUGGAACCAUUCAGUUGAAAAGGGACCCUGGCGGCUCUGGUCAGCAUCCCUGACCAGGCCGCUAAAAGUCCUGUCGGCAGUGUAGUGGGGCUAAGGCAGGCUCCCUGACUACUGUGGCUCUGUAUGGCUCUUGGAAACAGCAGCAUAAGCAAGGCUCAUAUGUGUAGGAGCAGUCAGGGGGCUCCGUGUGCUGCCCCCACCCCAAGCACCGCCCCUACAGCUCCCAUUGGCUGCAGCACCAGCGUAGGAGCCAGAGGGGUGUCAUGAAGCUGCUUCCAGGAGCUGCUUGGGGGCUAAACUGGACUUUCAAUUUCAUGACAGAGCAGCACUACACCUCUCCAGAGAAAAAAAUCAUUGACUACACAAAUGAUGGUAUAAGGUAAAAUGUUUCAUUCAGCUCCUCAAAAUGUGAUUUCACUCCCAAAAAAACUACACUGGGCAGUGGCAAUAUUUGUCCUGGCUGUACUAGUGAUUUUCAGCUUUCCAAUUGGACCCAGCACCCAAGAUACUCCACCCUAAAGAUAUGGCAUUUGUAGGUAAACAAAAACUAUUUUAACUUAUUCUGUGCAGUAGGACUCAUAGUAACCAAAGCACCUUGUUUUACAAAUGGAGGCAUUUGAAAAAAAAAUUAAAU